rnacentral:rRNA from 1 species
UAGGGAAUCUUCGGCAAUGGGGGCAACCCUGACCGAGCAACGCCGCGUGAGUGAAGAAGGUUUUCGGAUCGUAAAGCUCUGUUGUAAGAGAAGAACGUGUGUGAGAGUGGAAAGUUCACACAGUGACGGUAACUUCCAGAAAGGGACGGCUAACUACGUGCCAGCAGCCGCGGUAAUACGUAGGUCCCGAGCGUUGUCCGGAUUUAUUGGGCGUAAAGCGAGCGCAGGCGGUUUAAUAAGUCUGAAGUUAAAGGCAGUGGCUUAACCAUUGUUCGCUUUGGAAACUGUUAAACUUGAGUGCAGAAGGGGAGAGUGGAAUUCCAUGUGUAGCGGUGAAAUGCGUAGAUAUAUGGAGGAACACCGGUGGCGAAAGCGGCUCUCUGGUCUGUAACUGACGCUGAGGCUCGAAAGCGUGGGGAGCAAACAGG